rnacentral:rRNA from 1 species
UACGUAGGGGGCGAGCGUUGUCCGGAUUCAUUGGGCGUAAAGCGCGCGUAGGCGGCUCCGCAAGUCGGCCGUGAAAUCUCCCAGCUUAACUGGGAGGGGUCGGGCGAGACUGCGGGGCUGGAGGCGGGCAGAGGGCGGUGGAAUUCCGGGUGUAGUGGUGGAAUGCGUAGAGCUCCGGAGGAACACCAGUGGCGAAGGCGGCCGCCUGGGCCUGGCCUGACGCUGAGGUGCGAAAGCGUGGGGAGCAAACAGG